UACGGGGGGGGCAAGCGUUGUUCGGAAUUACUGGGCGUAAAGGGCCAGUAGGCGGCCAACUAAGUCCGACGUGAAAUCCCCAGGCUUAACCUGGGAACUGCGUCGGAUACUGGAUGGCUUGAAUUCGGGAGAGGGAUGCAGAAUUCCAGGUGUAGCGGUGAAAUGCGUAGAUAUCUGGAGGAAUACCGGUGGCGAAGGCGGCAUCCUGGACCGACAUUGACGCUGAGGAGCGAAAGCCAGGGGAGCAAACGGG
rnacentral:rRNA from 1 species